rnacentral:pre_miRNA from 1 species
UUUAAGUGUAGUUAUAAAUUUUCAUGUUCAAUAUUUGAUUAUCCGUUCUUUUUUAAAAAAUAUGAUUAGUAUUUUUAUUAUUAAUAGAUAAUAAAACAUGAAUAGUAUUCUAUGCAUGACUUAUUUUCUUAAAGAAAUUUUAUAAUUUUUUCAAAUAAGAUGGGUUGUCAAAUAUUGGAUACGGAAAACUUAUAAUUGCACUCAAA